UAGACAGCCAGGUGAUUCUAUCAAAUCAACAGCUUGAGACCGCGAAGAUCAACAACAAAACAAAACUGUUUGAUGUUUACUCCAAAAUGCUUUUAGCGGACACAUCUAAGAUGGAUGAUGCUGAAAAGGCUCGACUUGCUAAUGCUUUGAGUAAAAUGGAGCCCAUGGUAUUUCCUGAAGGAGAUUCAGGUGAUUGAAGGGAAAGAAGUGAUGCACUAUGAAGCAUAUCAGAGGAUAGAUUGUUCAGCUACAUUCAGUCAGUUAAUGGUGUGAAGUAAAUGGAUAGUCCCGCUGCAUUUUGUCUCAGUCAGUUUAUUGUGUGAACCUGAUGGAUUGUUCAACACUUUUGUGGUCCCGGUCAGUUUAUUGUCUGAACCUGAUGGAUUAUUAUUGUGUGAACUUGAUGGAUUGUUAUUGUGUGAACAUGGUGGAUUUUUAAUUGUGCACUGA